UACAGAGGGGGCAAGCGUUGUUCGGAAUUACUGGGCGUAAAGGGCGCGUAGGCGGCCUUCUAAGUCGAACGUGAAAUCCCCGGGCUCAACCCGGGAACUGCGUCCGAUACUGGAAGGCUUGAAUUCGGGAGAGGGAUGCAGAAUUCCAGGUGUAGCGGUGAAAUGCGUAGAUAUCUGGAGGAAUACCGGUGGCGAAGGCGGCAUCCUGGACCGAGAUUGACGCUGAUGAGCGAAAGCUAGGGGAGCAAACGGG
rnacentral:rRNA from 1 species